rnacentral:tRNA from 1 species
GCCCGGGUGGCGGAACGGUAGACGCGGAGCGCUUAAAACGCCCUGAGCGAAAGCUCGUGCCGGUUCGAGUCCGGCCCCGGGUA